UUGGAGGGCAAGUCUGGUGCCAGCAGCCGCGGUAAUUCCAGCUCCAAUAGCGUAUAUUAAAGUUGUUGCAGUUAAAAAGCUCGUAGUUGAAUUUCGGGGUUAGUAGGCUGGUCGUGCCACAGGUAUGCACUGGUCUCACUGAUUCCUCCUUCCUGAUGAACCGUAAUGCCAUUAAUUUGGUGUUGCGGGGAGACUGGACUGUUACUUUGAAAAAAUUAGAGUGUUUAAAGCAGGCUAACGCUUGAAUACAUUAGCAUGGAAUAAUGAAAUAGGACGUUCGGUCUUAUUUUGUUGGUUUCUAAGAUUGACGUAAUGAUUAAUAGGGAUAGUUGGGGGCAUUAGUAUUCAAUUGUCAGAGGUGAAAUUCUUGGAUUUAUUGAAGACUAACUACUGCGAAAGCAUUUGCCAAGGAUGUUUUCAUUAAUCAAGAACGAAAGUUAGGGGAUCGAAGACGAUCAGAUACCGUCGUAGUCUUAACCAUAAACUGUGCCGACUAGGGAUCGGAUGAUGUUAAUUUUUUAAUGACUCAUUCGGCGCCUUACGGGAAACCAAAGUGUUUGGGUUC
rnacentral:rRNA from 1 species